rnacentral:rRNA from 1 species
AUUGAACGCUGGCGGCGUGCCUAACACAUGCAAGUCGAGCGGUAACAGGUGUAGCAAUACAUGCUGACGAGCGGCGGACGGGUGAGUAACGCUUGGGAAUCUGCCUAUUAGUGGGGGACAACCCGGGGAAACGUCGGGCGUAAUACCGCAUACGCACUACGGUGGAAAGCCGGGGACCGCAAGGCCUGGCGCUAACAGAUGAGCCCAAGUCGGAUUAGCUAGUUGGUAGGGAACGGCCUACCAAGGCGACGAUCCGUAACUGGUCUGAGAGGACGACCAGUCACACCGGAACUGAGACACGGUCCGGACUCCUACGGGAGGCAGCAGUGGGGAAGUUUUGGUACAAUGGGCGCAAGCCUGAUCCAGCCAUGCCGCGUGCGGGAAGAAGGCCU